rnacentral:rRNA from 1 species
CCUACGGGGAGCUGCAGUGGGGAAUAUUGGACAAUGGGCGAAAGCCUGAUCCAGCCAUGCCGCGUGUGUGAAGAAGGCCUUCGGGUUGUAAAGCACUUUCAGUGGGGAAGAAAGCCUUGGGGCUAAUACCCUCGAGGAAGGACAUCACCCACAGAAGAAGCACCGGCUAACUCCGUGCCAGCAGCCGCGGUAAUACGGAGGGUGCGAGCGUUAAUCGGAAUUACUGGGCGUAAAGCGCGCGUAGGCGGUCUGAUAAGCCGGUUGUGAAAGCCCCGGGCUCAACCUGGGAACGGCAUCCGGAACUGUCAGGCUAGAGUGCAGGAGAGGAAGGUAGAAUUCCCGGUGUAGCGGUGAAAUGCGUAGAGAUCGGGAGGAAUACCAGUGGCGAAGGCGGCCUUCUGGACUGACACUGACGCUGAGGUGCGAAAGCGUGGGUAGCAAACAGGAUUAGAUACCUAUAGUC